GGACUCGCGCGGAUUUCCAAUUUUAUGGCCGUAAACUCCCAAAAAAUGUAAGUUGGUCAUUGCGGGGUGGUGACUAUGGUUCCAUUGGCCGUAUUCAACGUCCACGGAAAAUUUUAGACGAUCCGGGUCCGGGGCCCGGAGCCACGAAAGAAGGCGUGGGUUAUAGCACACGAAAAUUUGGGACUCGCGCGGAUUUCCAAUUUUAU
rnacentral:lncRNA from 1 species